GGAAUGCUUUGCUAGACAUAUCCUAACCGUUACGAUGCAAAGCCCUAUAUCUUGAAAGGUAUGUUUAGGUACACAGCUCAAAAUUGCGAUAUAUUUUGGGAUGGAGGUAGUAUAUUUUUUUUCAGGUGUACUGAUGUCACUAACUGCACAUAACGGAGGAUUGUUGUUGAGUAGUGCACUUGCAUGUUGCACUUAAAAAACAUCAUUUUCCAUCUGUUCAUUUUAGCUUUGCAUAUAUUUAAUAUGGACCACCAGUAGGCAUUUAGGUCUUCUGUUUUUAGCAUCCAAUAGUCCAAUGUGAUUCUAGCGUACAGAGGAAAAAGGGGUAGCAUUGAAACCUCUGUAAACUCAUUGAAAUUGGCAUGUAAUUUGCCCUUUUUUUCUAUUUAUUCAAACUUCCGAU
rnacentral:sRNA from 1 species